rnacentral:rRNA from 1 species
UCCCUUCGGGGGGGGAGCCGUAGGGAAUUUUCCGCAAUGGAGGACAAUCUGACGGAGCACCGCCGGGUGAGUGAAGAAGGUCUUUGGAUUGUAAAGGUCUGUUGUUAGGGAAGAACAUGCGUCGUUCUAAUAGGGCGGCACCUUGACGGUACCUAACCAGAAAGCCACGGCUAACUUCGUGCCAGCAGCCGCGGUAAUACGUAGGUGGCAAGCGUUGUUCGGAAUUAUUGGGCGUAAAGGGCUCGCAGGCGGUUUCUUAAGUCCGAUGUGAAAGCCCCCGGCUCAACCGGGGAGGGUCAUUGGAAACUGGGGAACUUGAAUGCAGAAGAGGAGAGUGGAAUUCCACGUGUAGCGGUGAAAUGCGUAGAGAUCAGGAGGAACACCCGUGGCGAAGGCGACUCUCUGGUCCAUCACUGACGCUGAGGCGCGAAAGCGUGGGGAGCGAACAGGAUUAGAUACCCUGGUAGUCCACGCCGUAAACGAUGAGAACUAAAUGUAGGGGCAUCCGCCCCUCAGUGUGCAGCUAACGCAUUAAGCACUCCGCCUGGGAGACUGCUGUCA